rnacentral:misc_RNA from 1 species
UUUCCGUAGGUGAACCUGCGGAAGGAUCAUUCAUAAUAAGUGUUAUGGCACUUUUUUAAAUCCAUAUCCACCUUGUGUGCAAUGUCAGGGUUGAUUUUUCUCUCGAGAGGAUCAACCCCAAACAUCAACUAUAUCUCAACUCUUUGUCUGAAAAAUAUUAUGAAUAAAACAAUUCAAAAUACAACUUUCAACAACGGAUCUCUUGGCUCUC